GACGUAGGGCGCGAGCGUUGUCCGGAUUUAUUGGGCGUAAAGAGCUCGUAGGCGGCUUGUCGCGUCGGCUGUGAAAUCCCGUGGCUCAACUGCGGGGCUGCAGCCGAUACGGGCUAGCUAGAGUUCGGUAGGGGAGACUGGAAUUCCUGGUGUAGCGGUGAAAUGCGCAGAUAUCAGGAGGAACACCGGUGGCGAAGGCGGGUCUCUGGGCCGAUACUGACGCUGAGGCACGAAGGCCAGGGGAGCAAACGGG
rnacentral:rRNA from 1 species